GAGGAAAAGAAACCAACAGGGAUUACCUCAGUAACGGCGAGUGAAGCGGCAAGAGCUCAAAUUUGAAAUCUGGCUCCUUCGGGGCCCGAGUUGUAAUUUGGAGAGGAUGCUUCGGGCGUGGCCCCUAUCUAAGUGCCCUGGAACGGGCCGUCAUAGAGGGUGAGAAUCCCGUCUGGGAUGGGUGGUCCCGCCCGUGUGAAGCUCCUUCGAAGAGUCGAGUUGUUUGGGAAUGCAG
rnacentral:rRNA from 1 species